CCUUAAGCAUGCAGAUAAAUGCUAUUCAUCUCAGUCCUAUUGUUUGGGUGCAAAAGAAUAUCUUUUGGAUAAAAGAUGAUAUUCGAGACAUUUAACAACUGGUCUGGUACAACCAGGCAGAAUGUACCCUUUGGCCAAUCAGAAGAAUGUCAACUGUAAAGAAAUGGUAUAAAGGCAGGAGGCAUU
rnacentral:lncRNA from 1 species